CUCAUAAAAAAUUUGCUCUCUGUCAAACCACAACCUUCACGCAAUAACAUCUCCCGUGUUCUCGUUUCAAUAUCACAACAGCAUCCAACGCUACCGAGAUGCAGUAACCCUGGUUCCAGCUUUAAGGUAAAUAAUCGAAACGAUUUUCAUGGCGUGAAUGUAAUGUGGAUACCCCAUUCGUCUGUUUGCCCGCUGUUGUCAUUUUUUUCUUAUUUUCAGCUUAUUUCUUUGGUUUUAGAAAUUGAUUAUAUGGACUGUUAUGUCAAUACAUUUCAAAUUGUAAAUUUAUGCUGAACCCAGUACAAAUGCAAUGGGUUGCGUAACUUUGUUUGCUGUUUCUUAUCGCUUAUGUGAAUAUUGCACAGUAUUAAAGUUAAAUCUUUGUGUGUUUGAAUGAAGAUGAGAAAUGUAUGAUUGAGCACA